rnacentral:rRNA from 1 species
AACGCGAAGAACCUUACCUGGGCUUGAACCGCACAGGACCAUCUCUGGAAACAGAGACUUCCCGCAAGGGACCUGUGUAGAGGUGCUGCAUGGCUGUCGUCAGCUCGUGCCGUGAGGUGUUGGGUUAAGUCCCGCAACGAGCGCAACCCUUACUCAUAGUUGCUACCCGCAAGGGAGAACUCUAUGAGGACUGCUCCGGAUAACGGAGAGGAAGGUGGGGAUGAGGUCAAGUCAGCAUGGCCUUUAUGUCCAGGGCUACACACGUGCUACAAUGGCCGGUACAAACCGUCGCAAACCCGCAAGGGGAAGCUAAUCGGAAAAAGCCGGCCUCAGUUCGGAUUGGAGUCUGCAACCCGACUCCAUGAAGCUGGAAUCGCUAGUAAUCGCGGAUCAGAACGCCGCGGUGAAUACGUUCCCGGGCCUUGUACACACCGCUGUA